UCGUUUUGUUUUUUUUUUCGUUUUUUUUUUAUUUAUUUUUUCAGGAAAAAUGAAAGGUAAAUUUUGGGGUAUUAUAAUAUCCCUAGUAGAGUUGACAGUAUCCAGACUGUAUAUCCCCAGCGGAGUCGACAGUGCCAGACUGUAUCUUCCCAGCAACAGCGGAGUAGUCGCAUACCCAACAGACAAGAGGGUGGUGUUCCCAGUGUUCAUCUCAUCCCCAACAGUUUUGUUUUUAACAGAUUUGUUUUAAUCCCCAGCCUG
rnacentral:lncRNA from 1 species